UACGUAGGGUGCAAGCGUUGUCCGGAAUUAUUGGGCGUAAAGAGCUCGUAGGCGGUCUGUCGCGUCGGCUGUGAAAACCCGGAGCUCAACUCCGGGCCUGCAGUCGAUACGGGCAGACUGGAGUUCGGCAGGGGAGACUGGAAUUCCUGGUGUAGCGGUGAAAUGCGCAGAUAUCAGGAGGAACACCGGUGGCGAAGGCGGGUCUCUGGACCGAUAUUGACGCUGAGGAGCGAAAGCGUGGGGAGCGAACAGG
rnacentral:rRNA from 1 species